AUGCAAACAGCGGCAGCUUCCCGAGGCCCCACCGCUUCCUCCCAGCGCGUAGGCCAAUGGGAGAUUUCUCCAGCCAUGUCAAAUGGGGAAAUGAGUAUGGAGAAUUUUGAGGGGAAGGACAUUGAGGCGGAAGGACACUGAAUUUAGGGGCAAGGCUGGGCUGGACAUCCCAUAUGUCAAUUUAAUCCACAUUCCAGUGACCAGAAUUCACAUAGCAAUUUCUGCCACUAAGGACAUGAAUGAAAAAAUUUAAGCAAACUAAAGGUGUGUAUUUGUUCAUUCGCGCACUGCUAUAAAGAAAUACCUGAGACUGGGUAAUUUAUAAAGAAAAGAAGUUAAUUGACUCAGUUCUGCAGGCAAUACAGGAAGCAAGAUGCUGUCAUCCGCUUGGCUUCAGGUCUCCAGCUCACUGAAAACAGCCUCCCCUGAUGAGCACACCAUUGUUAUGUAAUAGCCUAACCCUUACCCCUCGCCUAUCAGGGGGUGCCAAGCCUGCAGACUCACUCUGCUUUCCUCAUAACUGCCCUGAGGAGAAGGCUGAAGACUGAGGAAUCCUCUUUC
rnacentral:lncRNA from 10 species